CCUACGGGAGGCAGCAGUGAGGAAUAUUGGUCAAUGGACGAGAGUCUGAACCAGCCAAGUAGCGUGAAGGAUGACUGCCCUAUGGGUUGUAAACUUCUUUUAUAAAGGAAUAAAACGAGGCACGUGUGCCUUUUUGCAUGUACUUUAUGAAUAAGGAUCGGCUAACUCCGUGCCAGCAGCCGCGGUAAUACGGAGGAUCCGAGCGUUAUCCGGAUUUAUUGGGUUUAAAGGGAGCGUAGAUGGGUUGUUAAGUCAGUUGUGAAAGUUUGCGGCUCAACCGUAAAAUUGCAAGUGAUACUGGCAGUCGUGAGUACAGUUGAGGUAGGCGGAAUUCGUGGUGUAGCGGUGAAAUGCUUAGAUAUCACGAAGAACCCCGAUUGCGAAGGCAGCUUACUAAGCUGUGACUGACAUUGAUGCUCGAAAGUGUGGGUAUCAAACAGGAUUAGAUACCCCUGUAGUC
rnacentral:rRNA from 1 species